AGGCCAAUAGCUCAGUUGGUAGAGCACUGGUCUCCAAAACCAGGUGUCGGGGGUUCGAGUCCCUCUUGGCCUGCCA
rnacentral:tRNA from 2 species